AAAAAUGGAUGAAAGUAAAAAAAAUAAAGUCAAGCGAAAACUGUUUGAAAAACCUGUAGCUGUAAGUUUUUGUUUUUUUAAAAAAAAAAUGUUUUGUAUUUAUUUUUUUGAAGUGGUUGUGUUUUUUUCUAGAUUGUCAAACCCUAUGUACCUGAAAACAUCUAUAAAACUCUUCAAAUCUAUGUUCCUCAAGUGGUUGAAACAAUACCACUUGAGGAAACAGAUGAACGAUUGUAUGAAGGAGAGCUAGAAUUAAUUGAGGAUAUUCCAGAAAUAGACGAUGAACAAGUGCGUAUACUUGAUCAUAUUAUGAUGAGAAUCGAUCAUCAUUUAGAUGACAAUAGAAUGGAUAGAAAUAAUAGGUACUUUGCACUUAAUCGAGACGCGACCUCGAGACGCGAGAUAUGUAUAGGAUGCUGCCUGUGCGAAGAAGAAGAAAGCGAGCAUAAUCAUUGUUGUGUAACAACCGUGUGCCCGUACGUACAAGAACUAUUUGAACGGUGCCGCGGUUGUUGCAAUUGUAUAUAAAAAUUUGUAAAUAAUUGUAAAUUUGUAAAUAAAAAAUUCAUUUAUUAAAA
rnacentral:lncRNA from 1 species